rnacentral:rRNA from 1 species
UACGUAGGGUGCAAGCGUUAAUCGGAAUUACUGGGCAUAAAGCGUGCGCAGGCGGUUUUGCAAGCCGGAUGUGAAAUCCCCGGGCUCAACCUGGGAAUGGCAUUUGGGACUGCAAGGCUCGAGUGCGGCAGAGGAGACUGGAAUUCCUGGUGUAGCAGUGAAAUGCGUAGAUAUCAGGAGGAAUACCGAUGGCGAAGGCAGGUCUCUGGGCUGACACUGACGCUCAUGCACGAAAGCGUGGGGAGCACACAGG